rnacentral:rRNA from 2 species
CUUACUGCAGUCGAGCGAUCGAUGGGAGCUUGCUCCCUGAGAUUAGCGGCGGACGGGUGAGUAACACGUGGGCAACCUGCCUAUAAGACUGGGAUAACUUCGGGAAACCGGAGCUAAUACCGGAUACGUUCUUUUCUCGCAUGAGAGAAGAUGGAAAGACGGUUUACGCUGUCACUUAUAGAUGGGCCCGCGGCGCAUUAGCUAGUUGGUGAGGUAAUGGCUCACCAAGGCGACGAUGCGUAGCCGACCUGAGAGGGUGAUCGGCCACACUGGGACUGAGACACGGCCCAGACUCCUACGGGAGGCAGCAGUAGGGAAUCUUCCGCAAUGGACGAAAGUCUGACGGAGCAACGCCGCGUGAACGAAGAAGGCCUUCGGGUCGUAAAGUUCUGUUGUUAGGGAAGAACAAGUACCAGAGUAACUGCUGGUACCUUGACGGUACCUAACCAGAAAGCCACGGCUAACUACGUGCCAGCAGCCGCGGUAAUACGUAGGUGGCAAGCGUUGUCCGGAAUUAUUGGGCGUAAAGCGCGCGCAGGUGGUUCCUUAAGUCUGAUGUGAAGCCCACGGCUCAACCGUGGAGGGUCAUUGGAAACUGGGGAACUUGAGUGCAGAAGAGGAAAGUGGAAUUCCAAGUGUAGCGGUGAAAUGCGUAGAG